rnacentral:lncRNA from 1 species
CCGUCCGGUCUCACCCAUUGAAGGUUGAACAACUCCAGCUCCGGGAAAGACCCAUGUUAGUUAUUAUGGUAUAUAAGACCUAGUAGACCAGCUGUUAUUUGCAUGCGGAUUUAUGGGCACAUCAUUGAGAUCCUCUGAUGCAGGAAUGUCUCUUGGUCUUCGACUUGGAGGGAGAUUCAAACGAUUGGAAAAAGAAGGGUGAAUCCAUUAGGUGCAUGGGGUCG